UACGUAGGGUGCAAGCGUUGUCCGGAAUUAUUGGGCGUAAAGAGCUCGUAGGCGGUUUGUCGCGUCUGCUGUGAAAACUCGGGGCUUAACUCCGGGCCUGCAGUGGGUACGGGCAGACUAGAGUGCGGUAGGGGAGACUGGAAUUCCUGGUGUAGCGGUGAAAUGCGCAGAUAUCAGGAGGAACACCGGUGGCGAAGGCGGGUCUCUGGGCCGUAACUGACGCUGAUGCGCGAAGGCGUGGGGAGCAAACAGG
rnacentral:rRNA from 1 species